rnacentral:rRNA from 1 species
UACGGAGGGUGCGAGCGUUGUCCGGAAUCACUGGGCGUAAAGGGCGCGUAGGCGGCAGGCCAAGCGUGCGGUGAAAGUCCGGGGCUCAACCCCGGAUCUGCCGUGCGGACUGGUUUGCUAGAGCACUGUAGAGGCGAGUGGAAUUCCGGGUGUAGCGGUGGAAUGCGUAGAGAUCCGGAAGAACACCGGUGGCGAAGGCGGCUCGCUGGGCAGUGGCUGACGCUGAGGCGCGACAGCGUGGGGAUCAAACAGG